GGAGGUCUAGCCCAGCGGAAGAGCAUGUGCUUAGCAUGCAUGAGGACCUGUGUUCAAUCCCCAGUACCUCCG
rnacentral:tRNA from 1 species